AGUGAACGCUGGCGGUAGGCCUAACGCAUGCAAGUCGAACGGCAGCACAGUAAGAGCUUGCUCUUACGGGUGGCGAGUGGCGGACGGGUGAGGAAUACAUCGGAAUCUACUUUUUCGUGGGGGAUAACGUAGGGAAACUUACGCUAAUACCGCAUACGACCUACGGGUGAAAGCAGGGGAUCUUCGGACCUUGCGCGAUUGAAUGAGCCGAUGUCGGAUUAGCUAGUUGGCGGGGUAAAGGCCCACCAAGGCGACGAUCCGUAGCUGGUCUGAGAGGAUGAUCAGCCACACUGGAACUGAGACACGGUCCAGACUCCUACGGGAGGCAGCAGUGGGGAAUAUUGGACAAUGGGCGCAAGCCUGAUCCAGCCAUACCGCGUGGGUGAAGAAGGCCUUCGGGUUGUAAAGCCCUUUUGUUGGGAAAGAAAAGCAGCAGGUUAAUACCCCGCUGUUCUGACGGUAACCAAAGAAUAAGCACCGGCUAACUUCGUG
rnacentral:rRNA from 1 species